rnacentral:rRNA from 1 species
GAAGGGACUCUUAUCACCCUGAAUGCACUCGAUCUUGUGAGAUCUUAGUAGCUUAGCAGGUUUAAGCCUGGUUUGUACUUGGAUAGGAGAUUGCCUGGGAUUAGGACCUGUAGGCUUUU